rnacentral:rRNA from 1 species
GACGAACGCUGGCGGCGUGCUUAACACAUGCAAGUCGAGCGGUAAGGCCCUUUCGGGGGUACGACGAGCGGCGAACGGGUGAGUAACACGUGGGUGACCUGCCCUCAGCUCUGGGAUAAGCCUGGGAAACUGGGUCUAAUACUGGAUAUGACUCCACGGUGCAUGUCGUGGGGUGGAAAGCCUUGUGCGGCUGAGGAUGGGCCCGCGGCCUAUCAGCUUUGUUGGUGGGGUGAGGCCUACCAAGGCGACGACGGGUAGCCGGCCUGAGAGGGCGACCGGCCACACUGGGACUGAGACACGGCCCAGACUCCUACGGGAGGCAGCAGUGGGGAAUCUUGCGCAAUGGGCGAAAGCCUGACGCAGCGACGCCGCGUGAGGGAUGACGGCCUGGUUGUAAC